UACGGGGGGAGCAAGCGUUGUUCGGAUUUACUGGGCGUAAAGGGCGCGUAGGCGGCCACUGCAAGUCGGUUGUGAAAUCUCCGGGCUUAACCCGGAAAGGUCAAUCGAUACUGCAGGGCUAGAGUGCGGAAGGGGCAACUGGAAUUCUCGGUGUAGUGGUGAAAUGCGUAGAUAUCGAGAGGAACACCUGCGGCGAAGGCGGGUUGCUGGGCCGACACUGACGCUGAGGCGCGAAAGCAAGGGGAGCAAACAGG
rnacentral:rRNA from 1 species